UGAAUACGAGACGCUACGGCGUCGAAGCAGUCUAUGUCAUACUUCCAAGAAAAGCUCGCAAUGUCAUAAACAAAUAAUGCCUGUACCAUAACCGACACAGGUGGGUAGGUAGAGUAUACUAAGGGGCGCGAGAUAACUCUCUCUAAGGAACUCGGCAAAAUGACUCCGUAACUUCGGGAGAAGGAGUGCCUUAUUUAUAAGGUUGCAAUAACAAGAUCCAAGCAACUGUUUAUCAAAAACACAGGUCUCCGCUAAGUCGUAAGACGAUGUAUGGGGGCUGACGCCUGCCCAGUGCCAGAAGGUUAAAGAAGUUGGUUAGCAUUCGCGAAGCUGAUAACUGAAGCCCUGGUGAACGGCGGCCGUAACAAUAACGGUCCUAAGGUAGCGAAAUUCCUUGUCGGGUAAGUUCCGACCCGCACGAAAGGCGUAAUGAUUUGGAUACUGUCUCGGAGAGGGGCUCGGUGAAAUAGACUUGUCUGUGGAGAUGCGGACUACCUGCACCUGGACAGAAAGACCCUAUGAAGCUUUACUGUAACUUGAAAUUGAAAUUGGACUUUAUUUGCGCAGCAUAGGUGGGAGGCGUUGAGAGUAUUCUUGCGGGAAUAUUGGAGCCAUCAGUGAGAUACCACUCUUGUAAUGUUAGAUUUCUAACUUUGGAUCAUUAUCUGGUCAAAGAACAGUUUCAGGCGGGCAGUUUGACUGGGGCGGUCGCCUCCCAAAUGGUAACGGAGGCGUACAAAGGUUUCCUCUGAACGGGUAGAAAUCGUAUCUAGAGUGUAAAGGCAUAAGGAAGCUUGACUGUGAGACCUACAAGUCGAGCAGGGACGAAAGUCGGUCUUAGUGAUCUGACGGUGCUGAGUGGAAAGGCCGUCACUCAACGGAUAAAAGUUACUCUAAGGAUAACAGGCUGAUCUCCCCCAAGAGUUCACAUCGACGGGGAGGUUUGGCACCUCGAUGUCGGCUCAUCGCAUCCUGGGGCGGUAGUACGUCCCAAGGGUUGGGCUGUUCGCCCAUGAAAGCGGUACGCGAGCUGGGUUCAGAACGUCGUGAGACAGUUCGGUCCAUAUCCGGUGUAGGCGUUAGAAUAUUGAGAGGAGCCUUCUUUAGUACGAGAGGACCGAGAAGGACAUACCUCUGGUGUACCAGUUAUCGUGCCAACGGUAAACGCUGGGUAGCUAUGUAUGGAGAGGAUAACCGCUGAAAGCAUCUAAGUGGGAAGCCCACCUCAAGAUAAG
rnacentral:rRNA from 1 species